rnacentral:rRNA from 1 species
CGGGAAUUUUGGGCAAUGGGCGAAAGCCUGACCCAGCAACGCCGCGUGAGGGAUGAAGUAUUUCGGUAUGUAAACCUCGAAAGAAUGGGAAGAAUAAAUGACGGUACCAUUUAUAAGCUCCGGCUAACUACGUGCCAGCAGCCGCGGUAAUACGUGGGGAGCAAGCGUUGUUCGGAUUUACUGGGCGUAAAGGGCGCGUAGGCGGCGCGGUAAGUCACUUGUGAAAUCCCUGAGCUUAACUCAGAACGGCCAAGUGAUACUGCUGUGCUAGAGUGCGGAAGAGGCAACCGGAAUUCUUGGUGUAGCGGUGAAAUGCGUAGAUAUCAAGAGGAACACCUGAGGCGAAGGCGGGUUGCUGGGCCGACACUGACGCUGAUGCGCGAAAGCCAGGGGAGCAAACG